GCAAGAUCCAACCAAUGACACGCGUGCAGAAAGGGGCGCUAAAAUACGAGUAGGCAGAGAGACAAUGUCUUCGUUUGUGCGCUGUAUUUUGGUAUGUUAAAGUUAAAUUUACCGGCAACCAGUGUUUUUUUUUCUGGUGUCUUCCUAAUUUUCAUGAUGCCAACCGUACCAGCAAAUAAUCUAAAGGAGCAACUCGAACGACAUACAGGUCAGAACAAGAUGUCCUUGUCAAAGGCCAAAGCGGGGACUUUUGCCUUUAAAAAGAAAUCUGAGUCAUGUGUUGCUAAACCUGCAGUUCCUUCAGAGGUAAAUGCAAAUACUUUAGUCAACAGGAACAUCAAGGUCCUCUACCACAAGACAGUUUUUAAUACUUUGACAUCUUUAACUGAGACUGAAAGACAACCAGCAAAAUCCAGCAGCUUCUUCACUACCCCCAAGCAACAGGUUAUGGCACCGACAGUAGACAGGUCACCUGUUUGCAGUUCAACUCCAGCAUUUUCCACUUCUAAAGUUCCUUCUGCACGAUCAAAGCCACACAUAGCAUCCACAGCAAACAGCUGUAGCCAAAAUAUUGAGCUUGACAGCUCUUACAUCAUUGACAUUGACAGCUGGGAUGAUUUUGAUGACUUUGAAACUCCUGUCAGAGGGAAGACUAGUACACUACUCACCUCAGUGGACUUACAGAGGACUAGCAAUGCUGGAGAUCUUUCCACUGUGAGUAAAAAGGACACUGAGA
rnacentral:lncRNA from 1 species